GGAACCCACAGCCCAGCAGGGUCCACCCUCACCAGGGUCACUUCGGCCCAAGUCUUCAGAGCCCUCCAUGCUCCCAACACGGACUCUGUCAGCUCCUUCCUGACCCGCAGCCGCCAACCUAACACCACUCCCUCUGCAGGUAGCUCCUGCCCCACACACCUGCUCCUUCCCUGGGCCCAGCUAAAGGCAUCUCCCGGGCAGCGAUGGUGCACGCGACGCCACACUGGACGCUUUCCCCUCGUGACCUCCCUCCAUCCUCAUCAACUCUUUCUGUCACUGCUCCCUAAAUGCCCGCCCCUGCUCCAUCUGUCCUGUUCUCUGGGGCAUCCCAGGCCAAGCCUAGCGCUGACACAGAACAGCGGCUGCCUGAGGGCCCACAGCCUCCCCGGGAAUCAGCCAGGCACCCUGUGUCCUGCCUGCCCACUGCAGCCCAGGGGGCGCAGAGAGCGUGUGAUGGUCACACACAGGCACCAUCCGGGAUGUGGCCACCUGCCACCAGCUGUCCCUUGGGAAGACAGACCUCUCCUGUGUGCUUGUGGGGAGAAGGGGGGUGUUAUUUUUCUUUGCUCCCAGAACACAACUCACCCCCACCCGCCCUCUCAGGUGUGAGCAAGGUCCCUCCAGACAGGCUCUCUGGCCACUGCCUGUUCCUCCUCUACAGAGAGCAGCUUGGCCAGGUCAAAACCCUCAGGACAGACCCCUGGGUAUGUCAGCACAGGGAGGGCUGAGCCCAUCAUGGCCACGGAGUAAGUCGGGAUGAAUCUCUCCAGCUCUGAACCCCUGCUCUGUCCCAGGCUCCCCCUCCUGCGUCUCAACAAGCCAUGUCCCGCGGGGUUCCUGGGUAACUCCCCACUUCCUCCUGCACCACCACGGGGAAGGUGUGGUGACCACAGGACAAUCAGCUGGGCAGAGAAGAGAGGACAUCAAAGGUGGUCAGGGAGAACAUGAGAAACCCUGAGCUCCAGCUCAGCCGCCAGACCCCAGGGAGACACAGAGUGACCGAGAACUGUCCCUUUGACUCUGGGAUUCACAGCCCCCACUGAGCAAUCAGCACAGGCCUCUCCUCCCAAGAGGCCUGAGAGAUUCACCCUGCACACCUCCAGGAUGGAUAGUUUCCUCUGGGAAACCCAGCAUCACUUUUAAACUUCUGGAAUCCGCCCACAACUGCCCAAGUCACGAUUGAAGCCCAGCCACCCAAAGUUUCUGAGGGGAAGGAUGUUCUUCUACUUGUCCACAAUUUGCCCCAGAAUCUUGCUGGCUACAUUUGGUACAAAGGGCAAAUGACAUACCUCUACCAUUACAUUACAUCAUAUGUAGUAGACGGUCAAAGAAUUAUAUAUGGGCCUGCAUACAGUGGAAGAGAAAGAGUAUAUUCCAAUGCAUCCCUGCUGAUCCAGAAUGUCACGCAGGAGGAUGCAGGAUCCUACACCUUACACAUCAUAAAGCGACGCGAUGGGACUGGAGGAGUAACUGGACAUUUCACCUUCACCUUACACCGUGAGUGAUUCCACAUGAUCCCUGGGUGUUGGGGGACAGGGGUCACUUCUACUUCACACACACAGGAUUCUCAGGCCUGGACUCUGCCUGUGUCCCUCUCUGCAUUAAGUCCCAUGCUGGGGUUUGGGCAUUUAGUGCAGGACACACAGAGGAGACAAAUUUCAACAGAUCAGAAUUCCUUUCCCGCAUUCAGACCCUGCAGACACUCGCUGCAGAGGAAGGACAGUCUGAUGGGGGGACUCAGCAGGAGGAGAUCAGUCUCAGACAAGCACCUCAUGCCCUCUUCAUAAAUUUGACGCUGACAAAGACCCUGGAGAACUGAGUAGGGCUGGCCUGAGGGGCCCCCUGAGAUACUCUCAGAGCAGCUCAGCCCUAGAAGCCUCAACCCCAGACCUCUGUCCCUAAAUCCUUGCUCCAGAUAAAGCUGAGGAGCCUGUGCCAGUGCUGGGUUGUUCCUUCUUGGGCAGGCCUUACUGGGACCAAGAAUUUACCAGCUGUCAGAGGACUGUGUCUCCUGGAGCUGUUCACCAGCCAGGGCUCAGCCCUCAGAGCCUCAUCUGGGCAAGGACAGAGCUUUCUUCACCUGACACUCAGAGUGGAGAGGAUAGAAAGACAAGCUUUGUAGGACAUCGGCUUAGGAGAGUCCAUAGAAAGUCUAAUGUCCCCAGAAGCAGAAACAGAAGGAGAAGAUGUACCUGGUAGCAGAUUGUCCACAGGGAUCUGAUGUAAAGGUGUUUUCUCAUGGAAGCAAAUUAAUAAUAAAUGCUGUUUGUGUGAAACCUCCACUGUGCCAAGCA
rnacentral:lncRNA from 1 species